GACGAACGCUGGCGGCGUGCCUAAUACAUGCAAGUCGAGCGAAUGGAUUGAGAGCUUGCUCUUAUGAAGUUAGCGGCGGACGGGUGAGUAACACGUGGGUAACCUGCCCAUAAGACUGGGAUAACUCCGGGAAACCGGGGCUAAUACCGGAUAACGUUUUGAACCGCAUGGUUCGAAAUUGAAAGGCGGCUUCGGCUGUCACUUAUGGAUGGACCCGUGUCGCAUUAGCUAGUUGGUGAGGUAACGGCUCACCAAGGCAACGAUGCGUAGCCGACCUGAGAGGGUGAUCGGCCACACUGGGACUGAGACACGGCCCAGACUCCUACGGGAGGCAGCAGUAGGGAAUCUUCCGCAAUGGACGAAAGUCUGACGGAGCAACGCCGCGUGAGUGAUGAAGGCUUUCGGGUCGUAAAACUCUGUUGUUAGGGAAGAACAAGUGCUAGUUGAAUAAGCUGGCACCUUGACGGUACCUAACCAGAAAGCCACGGCUAACUACGUGCCAGCCGCCGCAGUAA
rnacentral:rRNA from 1 species